GUCCNUGUCUAUAANAUCCUGAACACANCCGAUCUCAUCUGAUCUUGGAAGCUAUGCAGGGUCAGGCCUGGAUAGUACUUGGAUGGAAGAAAUGAGUCCAUUCAUUGAUGGACA
rnacentral:rRNA from 1 species